rnacentral:rRNA from 1 species
GACGAACGCUGGCGGCGUGCUUAACACAUGCAAGUCGAACGGAAAGGCCCUGCGUUUGUGGGGUGCUCGAGUGGCGAACGGGUGAGUAACACGUGAGUAACCUGCCCCUGACUUUGGGAUAACUUCAGGAAACUGGGGCUAAUACCGGAUAGGAGCUCCUGCUGCACGGUGGGGGUUGGAAAGUGUCGGCGGUAGGGGAUGGACUCGCGGCUUAUCAGCUUGUUGGUGGGGUAGUUGCUUACCAAGGCUUUGACGGGUAGCCGGCCUGAGAGGGUGACCGGCCUCAUUGGGACUGCGGUACGCCCCAGACUGCAACGGGGGGCAACAGUGGGGAGUAUUGCGCAGUAGGGGCACGUCUAUUGCGGCGGCGCUGCGUGCGGGAUGACGGCCUUCGGGUUGUAAACCGCUUUCGCCUGUGACGAAGCGUGAUUGACGGUAAUGGGUAAAGAAGCACCGGCUAACUACGUG